GAUGAACGCUGGCGGCGUGCCUAAUACAUGCAAGUCGAGCGAACGGACGAGAAGCUUGCUUCUCUGAUGUUAGCGGCGGAGGGGUGAGUAACACGUGGAUAACCUACCUAUAAGACUGGGAUAACUUCGGGAAACCGGCGCUAAUACCGGAUGAUAUUUUGAACCGCAUUGUUCAAAAGUGAAAUUCGGUCUUGCUGUCACUUAUAGAUGGAUCCGCGCUGCAUUAGCUAGUUGGUACGGUCACGGCUUACCAAGGCAACGAUGCCUAGCCGACCUGAGAGGGGGAUAGGCGACCCGGGAACGGGGACGCGGUCCAGAAUCCUACGGGAGGGAGCAGUAGGGAACCUUCGGCAAUGGGCGAAAGCCUGACGGAGCAACGCCGCGUGAGUGAUGAAGGUCUUCGGAUCGUAAAACUCUGUUAUUAGGGAAGAACAUAUGUGGAAGUAACUGUGCACAUCUUGACGGUACCUAAUCAGAAAGCCACGGCUAACUACGUG
rnacentral:rRNA from 1 species